rnacentral:rRNA from 1 species
GAUGAACGCUGGCGGCGUGCCUAACACAUGCAAGUCGAGCGAAGCGCUUGAAUUAGAUUCUUCGGAUGAAGAUUUUUGCGACUGAGCGGCGGACGGGUGAGUAACGCGUGGGUAACCUGCCUUACACAGGGGGAUAACAGUUAGAAAUGACUGCUAAUACCGCAUAAGACCACAGUACCGCAUGGUAUAGUGGUAAAAACCGAGGUGGUGUAAGAUGGACCCGCGUCUGAUUAGGUAGUUGGUGGGGUAACGGCCCACCAAGCCGACGAUCAGUAGCCGGCCUGAGAGGGUGGACGGCCACAUUGGGACUGAGACACGGCCCAG